AUUGAACGCUGGCGGCAUGCUUUACACAUGCAAGUCGAACGGUAACAGGCCUUCGGGUGCUGACGAGUGGCGAACGGGUGAGUAAUGCAUCGGAACGUACCCAGAGGUGGGGGAUAACGCAGCGAAAGCUGUGCUAAUACCGCAUGUGAUCUGAGGAUGAAAGCGGGGGACCGAGCAGCAAUGUUUGGCCUCGCGCCUUUGGGGCGGCCGAUGUCGGAUUAGCUAGUUGGUGGGGUAAAGGCCUACCAAGGCGACGAUCCGUAGCUGGUCUGAGAGGACGACCAGCCACACUGGGACUGAGACACGGCCCAGACUCCUACGGGAGGCAGCAAUGGGGAAUUUUGGACAAUGGGCGCAAGCCUGAUCCAGCAAUGCCGCGUGCGGGAAGAAGGCCUUCGGGUUGUAAACCGCUUUUGGCAGGAACGAAACGGUGUCCGCUAAUACCGGGCGCUAAUGACGGUACCUGCAGAAUAAGCACCGGCUGACUACGUG
rnacentral:rRNA from 1 species